GACGAACGCUGGCGGCGUGCCUAAUACAUGCAAGUCGAGCGGAUUGAAUGAAAAGCUUGCUUUUCAUUCAGUUAGCGGCGGACGGGUGAGUAACACGUGGGCAACCUACCUGAAAGACUGGGAUAACUUCGGGAAACCGAAGCUAAUACCGGAUAAUCGGUUUUUUCGCAUGAAAGAAUCGUAAAAGGUGCUACGGCAUCGUUUUCAGAUGGGCCCGCGGCGCAUUAGCUAGUUGGUGGGGUAAAGGCCUACCAAGGCAACGAUGCGUAGCCGACCUGAGAGGGUGACCGGCCACACUGGAACUGAGACACGGUCCAGACUCCUACGGGAGGCAGCAGUAGGGAAUCUUCCGCAAUGGGCGAAAGCCUGACGGAGCAACGCCGCGUGAGCGAAGAAGGCCUUCGGGUCGUAAAGCUCUGUCAAACAGGAAGAAUACUCAUGAGAGGGAAUGCUCAUGAAAUGACAGUACUGUCGAAGGAAGCCCCGGCUAACUACGUGCCAGCAGCCGCGGUAAUACGUAGGGGGCAAGCGUCGUCCGGAAUUAUUGGGCGUAAAGCGCGCGCAGGCGGUAUGGAAAGUCAGGUGUGAAAACUCGGGGCUCACCCCCGAGCCUGCAUUUGAAACUUCCAUACUUGAGAGCAGGAGAGGGAAGUGGAAUUCCUAGUGUAGCGGUGAAAUGCGUAGAUAUUAGGAGGAACACCAGUGGCGAAGGCGACUUCCUGGCCUGUAACUGACGCUGAGGCGCGAAAGCGUGGGGAGCAAACAGGAUUAGAUACCCUGGUAGUCCACGCCGUAAACGAUGAGUGCUAU
rnacentral:rRNA from 1 species